UACAGAGGGUGCGAGCGUUGUUCGGAAUCACUGGGCGUAAAGGGCGCGUAGGCGGUCUGGUAAGUCGGGGGUGAAAUCCUGCGGCUCAACCGCAGGACUGCCUCCUAAACUGUCAGGCUGGAGCACGGUAGAGGCAGAUGGAAUUCCCGGUGUAGCGGUGGAAUGCGUAGAGAUCGGGAAGAACACCAGUGGCGAAGGCGGUCUGCUGGACCGUUGCUGACGCUGAGGCGCGACAGCGUGGGGAGCAAACAGG
rnacentral:rRNA from 1 species